CGUAGGGGGCGAGCGUUGUCCGGAAUUAUUGGGCGUAAAGGGCGUGUAGGCGGCCUGUUAAGUCAGGGGUGAAAACCCGGGGCUCAACCCCGGGGUUGCCUCUGAAACUGAUGGGCUUGAGUGCUCUAGAGGGCAGUGGAAUUCCCGGUGUAGCAGUGAAAUGCGUAGAGAUCGGGAGGAACACCAGUGGCGAAGGCGGCUGCCUGGGGAGUAACUGACGCUGAGGCGCGAAAGCUAGGGGAGCGAACAGGAUUAGAUACCCUGGUAGUCCUAGCCGUAAACGGUGAGUGCUAUGUGUGAGGGGUAUCGACCCCCCUCGUGCAGGAGUUAACGCAAUAAGCACUCCGCCUGGGGAGUACGGCCGCAAGGUUG
rnacentral:rRNA from 1 species